rnacentral:rRNA from 1 species
GACGAACGCUGGCGGCGUGCCUAAUACAUGCAAGUCGAACGCAGGGGGGACGGGUGAGUAACACGUGGGUAACCUGCCCAUCAGAGGGGAUAACACUUCGAAACAGGUGCUAUACCGGUAUUGAUGGCUGGACCCGCGGUGGAUUAGCUAGUUGGUGAGGUAACGGCUCACCUAGGCCACGAUUCAUAGCCGACCUGAGAGGGUGAUCGGCCACACUGGGACUGAGACACGGCCCAGACUCCUACGGGAGGCAGCAGUAGGGAAUCUUCGGCAAUGGACGAAAGCCUGAUCGAGCAACGCCGCGUGAGUGAAGAAGGUUUUCGGAUCGUAAAACUCUGUUGUUAGAGAAGCGUUACCUAACCAGAAAGCCACGGCUAACUACGUGCCAGCAGCCGCGGUAAUAC